CCCGCUGAACUUAAGCAUAUCAAUAAGCGGAGGAAAAGAAACUAACAAGGAUUCCCCUAGUAACGGCGAGUGAAGAGGGAAAAGCUCAAAUUUGAAAUCUGGUGUCCUCUGGGCAUCCGAGUUGUAUCCUAGAGAGGUGUUUUCCGCGUCGGACCGUGCAUAAGUCCCUUGGAACAGGGCGUCAUAGAGGGUGAGAAUCCCGUCCAUGGCACGGACUACCGGUGCUCUGUGAUGCGCCUUCGAAGAGUCGAGUUGUUUGGGAAUGCAGCUCAAAAUGGGUGGUAAAUUCCAUCUAAAGCUAAAUAUUGGCGAGAGACCGAUAGCGAACAAGUACCGUGAGGGAAAGAUGAAAAGCACUUUGGAAAGAGAGUUAAACAGUACGUGAAAUUGUUGAAAGGGAAACGCUUGGAGUCAGUCGCGUCGGCCGGGACUCAGCCUUGCUUCUGCUUGGUGCAUUUCUCGGUCGAUGGGUCAGCAUCAAUUUCUUUUGCCGGAUAAAGGCUUGGGGAAGGUGGCACCCUCGGGUGUGUUAUAGCCCCUUGUCGCAUACGGUGGAGGGGAUUGAGGACCGCAGCACGAAUCGGGGUUCGCCCACGUCGCGUGCUUAGGAUGCUGGCGUAAUGGCUUUAAGCGACCCGUCUUGAAACACGG
rnacentral:rRNA from 1 species